rnacentral:lncRNA from 1 species
AUCAAGAGAAAUUCAUAGGAAAAUGGAAAAGCAAAAGUUCUGAUGUUUUGCUUUUGAUUUCGCCAAGCUAAGUCAACUCCAGGAGUCCUCCUUUCAAAAAGGCUUGGCAUUAGCUACAACGAAGACCACCUUAAAGCCUGUGCUGUUUGAACUCUGCUGCUUGGACCUCAGCUGCUGCAGCAAGGAAGCCUAAAAAAGUCCAUAUGUAGGAGCCCUGAAGCCUGUGGGUAAUAGCCCCAGCCAGUUGGCAUCUGGUGUACCUUCUGGGAAACUGGGCUACUGGGAUUUGUGAAUAGCAACGAAGAGCCAGAGUCUAACUUGGUGUUUUGUUCCGUUUUGCUGCCAAGCUAAGUUUGCUGGAUUUGAGCUUUUGGAUGAUGAUAAUGAUCAUGGGUCCAGUAUUUGAUGAAUCUCCUGAAAGUGAGUGGAACCUGACUCGUUCAUCUUUUCUAGGAUAUAAUGCAUAUGUCAUUGUGACUUUUAAGUUACUUAAAAUCUUGAGGGUCAAUAGGACCAAAAGGAAAAAGGAGCUUAAGUUUCCCAUCCACUUGUUUUUGUCUUCAAGUUUUCCUUUCCUAAUACUACAGAAAUUGUUAUGGAACAGGAAGCGGAAGGUUCAGAAAUUUUACCUUUAAUUUAUCAAGUUAUAUCAACCUGGGUGGUCCAUUUGUCAAAAGGUAAGAAAGUUGACAUAAAAAAUAUACAAAAAUUAACAUACUAAAUGUUUGAAGUCUUUUAAAUGUCACACAUACAAAAGAAAAGUGCACACAUCAUAAGUAUACAGCUUGAUGAAUUAUCACAAUUAUUGUCAUCAAGGUAAAAAAAUAGAGCAUAACCAGCAUCCCAGAAGUUCCCAACCUCUUCCCUCCCAGUUGUUCUGCCCCCUUUCUCCUCCUCAAGUGUAGCCAUUGCUGUGACUUUUAACACCAUAGGAUAGUUUUACCUAUUUUAAAAAAAUGUUAUAUAAAUGGAACCAUACAGCAUGUAUUCUUUUGUGUCUAGCUGCUUUCACUUAACACUGUUUUGUGAGAUUUAGCCAUUCUAUUUUAUUUCUUAUUUUUUUAAAAGAUUUUAUUAAUUCGAGAGAGAGAGAGCGAGCGAAAAUGAGCAGGGUGGGAGGGCUGAGGGAGAAGCAGACUCCCUGCUGAGCAGGGAGCCCGAUAUGGGACUCGAUCCCAAGAUCCUAGUUCCCUGGGAUCCUGAUCUGAGCUGAAGGCAGCUGCUUAACUGACUGAGCCACCCAGGCACCCUAGCCAUUCUAUUUUAGAUAGCAGUAGUUCAUUUAUUUUCAUUGUUGUUUAGUUUCCAUUGUAUAAAUAUACCAACAUUUAUAUCUUCAUUCUGUUGAUGGCUAUUUGGGUUGUUUCCAGUUUGGGACUUCACAAUUAAUGCUGCUACAAACUUUCUUCUACACGUCUUUGAUGCAUAUAUAUAUAUGUGUUUCCAUUGGUGUUUCUGUUUCUCCACGUCAUCACCAAUGUUUGUUUCUGUCUUUUUAUCUUUAGCCAUUUUUUUUGUUGUGUAUUAUUGGUUCUCAUUUUGGCUUGACUGUGUGCUCAGUGAAGGCAAGGCCACAUCUGUCCUGUUCAUAGCUGUAUCACUAUUCAUAAAACAUAGUACAAAUAAUAAUAAGUGGCAAUAACAAUAAUAAAAAUGAAGAUUGAUUGAAACUAAUAACUACACUCAGAGUUUGCAACUUGAGCUUAUGUUUAUAGUUUUACUUUUAUUUGUUAAAAUGAAUAGUUGUUUUUUUUUUUUUAAGAUUUUUUAAUUUAUUUAUUCUACAGAGAUAGAGACAGCCAGCGAGAGAGGGAACACAAGCAGGGGAGUGGGAGAGGAAGAAGCAGGCUCAUAGCGGAAGAGCCUGAUGUGGGGCUCUAUCCCAUAACGCUGGGAUCACGCCCUGAGCCGAAGGCAGACGCUUAACCGGUGUGCCACCCAGGCGCCCCUAAAAUGAAUAGUUUUUAAAUGGUGUUAUGAUUUAGAUAUCAUAAAUCAUUUCCAAUGUUUUCCUUGAUGUGAAACCAUAAACGACCUCACCUCUUCCCCUGACACCCACCCUCCCAAACACACACACGGUGCAAAUUUAGGGCAAUGGUCCAGGAAGAACUAUACAAAUAUAUCUCCCCUUUAAUUUUAUUCAAAUAUUUUGAUAGAAAAAUUAAAUAAUUUAACUGCUAAGUAAUUUUAGGUAUUUUUCUUAUAUUAAAACAAACACAAAUAUAAUGGUAUCCAAACUGAUUGAAUAUUGUGCUUACAUAGGGGGUUUGAGUCACUUCAGAAUCUAUCUGUAUACCCUUGGCCACCCUAUUCUUCUCAGCCAAGUCUGAAAAGCUUUGAUAAUAACGGAGAAUUAAUGAAGUGUUUCCAUUGGGUAGAAUCAUGAUUCAGUUUUUACAUUAGGAGGAUAAUUUUGGCUUGUACUACAGAAGAUGAGUUGGAGGGGAUAGGGGUGGAUGAAGAAGCACUGGAGGUAGAGAUAACAUUAGAGAAUUAUGUAAUAUUAAUCCAUUAUAUUAUAAUUAUUCAUUAUACUGUAAUAAUCCAGGUGAGAGAGAAAUUGGCCUAAACUCACAGCACAGGACAUAGAGAAGAAUAGGCACCAAGGUUUCUAAUUUUAUUAGCUAUUUACUUUCAUGUUCACCAUGACUCUAUAAAACAUCAUCUAAACAUCUAAUUAUUGGUUGUGGUUUGUAUUAUACCUGUAUAAAUAACUUACAUAUGUGAUAGGAUAAAUACAAAUGUUAAUGAGCAUUACUAUUAUUUAAUUCCUUAUAUUUGCAAAAGUCAAAUGGACUUCAAUAUAUUCAAAAUUAGAUAUUAUUCAGUAGUGUAUCCAUUUGCUGCAUUAUAUAUAAAGAAAUUUACAACUAUUGUCUCUGAAGUGAUCUAAAUAGUUCACAUAACAUAUAAGCUUCAAGGGAAAUCUUCGUAUCCAUUAUACAACUCCAUCUUAUUGCAAUUGGAGUUUUUAACUGGACCUAAAUAAAUUAAUCUACAAUAUGGCUAAAAUGUUAAUAUUAUCAUUGUAAUUCACAAUAUACCGGUAUUAGAUACUUUAGGGACUCAGCACUGCUACAAAUCCAUUUGAUUUUCAGGUCAAUUUCCAAAACUGUGAAGUCGCUAAUAAAUUCACAGUGCUUUCUAGCUUUUGAAGUGUUUUGGCAUUUUACAUUAUCUUCUUUGAUGUUCAACAUCCUUGAAGUCAGCAAGGCUGGUCACCCUAAUUUUUCAGUUCAAAAAAGCUCUGAGAUUUCAUUUAUUGUGUUUAACAAAUGUUAUUUGUAUAACAUCAUGCAUCUGCAAACUGUAAAGGGACUGGAAUUCAGAUUUCCAAAGUUUUUAUUCUGGUGUACCAGGUUGUCAGUCUAAUAUAGCAUAUGGCUUCCUAAGAUUCCUGGAUUUUAGUAGCUCUUUGACAAAUUUCUUAACCUGUAUACUUCAGUUUUCAUAUCUAAAAUAAGGAGAUAAUAAUAAUACCUAGCCAUUGAAUUAUUAUAAGGAUAAAUUUAGCUAAAUUUGUGAGGCAUUUAAAAACAGUGUCAAGCUCACAGUAAGCUCCAAAUAAAUGUUGGGUUAUAUAUUUAUUGUUUUAGCAUAUCCAACUGACUUGUAAGGAGGGUUUUGAUCCUCAUAAUAUACACAUUUGGAAAAUUCCCAGUUGAGUAUAUAUAUUAGGCAAGUUCAGAUGUGUAUAUGGGUAUUAAAGCAUAAACCUUGUUUCUAAUUUAAUAACUAAAGAAAUGUGGGGGCCCAAUAAUCCCAUUAGCCCUACUUAAUUAACCACAUUUCAUCUGACCUCGAUAUGCUCUUCCCAGAGAGAAAAGACUUCAAGGGUGUGGUAAGUAGACCUGUUGAGAUAUUUUAAAAAGCAGAGAUCCGUGGAUUUUAACAGGAAGCUCAGCAUAUUAGACAGUCCAAGUGUGCUCAGGAGUGUAAUAUCUGCCCAGUCUUAGCUGAGAGGACGUUAGGGGGAACGCUACAAGGGACCCAGCUGGGUACUCUGCAGGAAGUUAAAAAAAAUUGUUGAGCUUUGAAAAACAUCUGGUGUUAGCCAUCUGUCUUUGGCAGUACAAAGGCUUAAGGUCUAUGUGGUUCCUUCUGACACCAUGGAAGGCGGAGUUUCAGCGCAGAAGUAACAAGUAGUGGCAAGCUAAUUUAAGUACGUUCUCGGGGUCCGGAGACACUUGCACUUCCUGUUACCACAAUUCAGGCCAAACUGCUGUCAAUCCCUAGUGUUUGAGCGCUUCCCCAGCCUCGAUUCCUGUUGUGGCCACCCUCGGGUGGGCCGUGCUCCACCUAGGUGCUUUGGAAUGUGGGACAGUUUCGCUCUUCUCGCGAAAGAACACGGUCUUUUGCUUGAGUUGCUCGUUAAAAGGUUGGCACAGUCGGGAUCUCCCAUUGUUGUUAAGAGGCGCAGGAGCCCCGGCCAGUAAGACGCUGUCACUGCUGCCCAGCAGCGAGCCCCAACAUCCCAGCCAGGCCCCGCUGGGCAUUCCGAAGCCCCACCCAUGGCAACGCCACUCUGACGCCCGCGCGCCGGAGGCCGCCAUAGGCCCGCGUCGCGGCCCAGGGCGACGUGUGGCGCGUGGACUCUAUCAGGUCCAGCCCUGCGGGAACCCGGCAGACACUUCCGGGCAAGGUUCUGUGCACCUGUUCCUUCCUUCUCCUUAAGUGUCUUCCCCUCUGGGAAAAAGUGGACAU